rfam:Desulfotomaculum reducens MI-1, complete genome.
GGGGGCGAAAUGGCUUCGACGGGGGAUGCGAUGGCAAGAGGAGCGAGCCGGGAUCUCACCAGCCCGUUAAACGGUGAACACUAAUAAUUGCUAACGAAGAAUACGCUUUAGCAGCUUAAUUGCUGUCUAACCUCCUACCUUCUGCGCCCGCGGUGAAGGAUAGGGGGUCAACUUAGCGGGACGCUCUAUAGCCUGAUGUUCGGAGGGCUAUAGCUAAGACUACCGGACUAGCAACCGAGGAGGCUGUCUAUGGCCGCCAAGGAAGCGAAAUCUAAAGCAUAGUCUACGCUCGUAGAGCCUGUUGUGGUUGCUCUUUCGGACGGUGGGUUCAACUCCCCCCGCCUCCACCA